AGUUAAGAAUAAAGAAUAUGCUUCUUGAGUGCAAAAAAGUUUAGCAACAUCAAAAUAAUUUAGUUUCAUACAAGUAUGGUUUUAAAGAACAAUAAAUUAGCUAGAAUUUUUUUUUCACCGAAAUGCACAACCUUGACAUCUGUUCCUCCA